rnacentral:rRNA from 1 species
GAUAUGGGGUUAGGCUGGAACGUGGAUGGGGCGGCGGGGGAAAGACCUUACCGUGCGUUUGAAACGCUAAGCAAAUCUAACAGAUUAGAAGUUCCCUUCGGGGACAAGGAAAACAGGGGUGCAAGGUUGUCGUCAGCUCUGGUCGCUGAAUAGUUGGGUUAAGUCCCGCAACAACCCCAACCCUUUUUCUCAAUUGCCAGCAUUA